rnacentral:rRNA from 1 species
UAGGGAAUCUUCCACAAUGGACGCAAGUCUGAUGGAGCAACGCCGCGUGAGUGAAGAAGGUUUUCGGAUCGUAAAGCUCUGUUGUUGGUGAAGAAGGAUAGAGGUAGUAACUGGCCUUUAUUUGACGGUAAUCAACCAGAAAGUCACGGCUAACUACGUGCCAGCAGCCGCGGUAAUACGUAGGUGGCAAGCGUUGUCCGGAUUUAUUGGGCGUAAAGCGAGCGCAGGGGGAAGAAUAAGUCUGAUGGGAAAGCCCUCGGCUUAACCGAGGAACUGCAUCGGAAACUGUUUUUCUUGAGUGCAGAAGAGGAGAGUGGAAUUCCAUGUGUAGCGGUGGAAUGCGUAGAUAUAUGGAAGAACACCAGUGGCGAAGGCGACUCUCUGGUCUGCAACUGACGCUGAGGCUCGAAAGCAUGGGUAGCGAACAGG